AGCCGCGACCCUUCCUGGCCCUCUCUCCCUCUCGAAAUAAACGUUCCCCUUGCAGAAGAUGGGGAUCCGCAGGGGCGGGAAACGCGGGGCCGGCGAGUCCCGGCAGGGCAUCCCAGGAGAUGCCCUCUCAGCGCCCUUCUUCGCCGGCCGCCUGUGUGAGGGGCUGCGUCUUUCUCCCGCUCUCCCGUCGUCGUUUUCGGCCGGGAGGUAGGACCAUCUCCCUCCGGAGGAUGCAGCUUCCCCCCCUAGCGACCGCGUUCCUCUUCCCUUUGUAGCCCAGGGAGAGCGGGAGACGCUGCGUGUGCAGCUCGCUGUUUCCCGCACUCGGCCCCCUGAGAGGCCACGAUAAUGAGCACGGCCCGCCGCCCUGUGCAGGGACCUUCUCCGAGAGAGCUCAGGUGCUCCUGGGACGUCUUGCGGGAUCCUGGAAUCUUCCCAGUAGCAUUUUCUACAGACUCGUCGCACAUCAUUCUUGGUUAUUUUGAGUAUUUGACUCUCUAUGGUUUCCCCUCCCCUAAUAAAAAUUGCAUCAGUAGAGGACUUGGGAGUAGGAGCCCCAGAAAAUAAUUUGCUUGUUUGUGUAUCUGUGCGUGGCCUCUAAGCAUAACAUUCAUGUGAGUAAGUGGGGCUUUUUGGCAAAUGUGUCUUCCUCCUUGAGUGGUAUUUUAGUGGAAUUGAAGUGUGAACUUAGUUUUAAAGGUUUAUCUUUUGGAAAUAUGAUCUCUACAGAUGAAAGCAUACACAUUUCUUGUCAUUCUGAACCACUAUUUUAACAUGUCUGAAUUAAAUUGCUGGAGUUUGAUUUGAGUUAAAUGAGCUAGAACUCCUGAAUUCAGUCUGGUGUUAACUUCCGCACCGAGGUGUUGGCCCACUGCAGGUUUUACUCUUGAAGAGUUCAGAUGGUGGGGCAGGCAAAAUUUGCUUUAUGGUUUCCAUAGCCAUUAUUUAAGUAUAUAUACGUACAGAUAUAAUUUGUAGGGCUUAUGCUGAAAUAAGUUGAAGAAGUUACAAAAUGCUGGAACAUUUUUAGGAGAGCUUUACUUGGGUUGUUCUUUUGUUUGUUUGGGGCCUUUUUUUGAGGUGGUGGGGGGAGGUAGUGCUUCUCCUUUAUUCCAUAGGGUCUAAUCCGGACCACACUGAAAUAGAUGAACUGAGAAUUUACUUUCAGUGGACUUUGAAUUAGACCUGCAGCAAAUUGCACUGAGUCUCUUCGUUAUAAAAGUGAGCGUCGACAGUGAAGUGAAACCCCUUUGACUAGAUUGCAAGUCACAGAGACACUGUGAUGAAUUUUGCUUUCUGCAUUGAAUGUGUGUUGGAGAGCCAGCAAGCUGACAGCUGUUCUGCCUCAUGAGAGCUGUCUUGAGUCUAGGGGUGGCAUUCUAGGCUGCCAAUUACUGGUUGCAGCUGUAUGAACAUGUCAGCUCUGUGUAUCAUAAUAAUUUAGAACUGAUUUAAUGGCAUCACUAGCUUGAAUAGCAGCUUUGGAGGCUGCAGCAUUCCUCAAUGUCUUUCUAUUGCUUUAAGUGCUAUUAAAGAGUUUAUGAAAGUGAGUAUCCUAAGAGUGGUCCUUCUCAGCCAUGAUAAUGUCUCAAGAUAAAAGUUGGGUCUUGCUGAAUGAGUUUAUCAUUCAUUUCACUUACUGAACAUCAUAGCUUUUUAUAGAAUUUUUUUUUAGUAACAAACAGAGUGGUGCAACUGCCUGAAUUAGGCUGGCUGCACGGCCCAGUAUGCAGUGUACGUUUUUCUGCACCCACUCAGCCCUGAAAGUACAAAGCAUUUCUCUCAGCUUUUAAACACAGCCAUGUCCACCUUGGUUAAUGUCAAGAACUGAGCAGUAUUUUAGCAGUCAGUCUUCAGGCAACAAAAUGACUCUGAUAUUUAGGUUAUUAACUCUCAGGAUCAGAGCAUGAUAAAUAGCAUGCACCUACAUGUUAUUUCCUUUACAGCAACGCCAUUUGUUGCCUGGAGGACUGCAGACAUGCUUUUGAGGUUUCAGUGUGUUGUGGUAGUUUAAAUUUGUCAAGUCACUAGUUUCAGGAUUUGCAGCAUCUUUUUGAUUUGUACAUUAAUUUUAAAACUGAAGAAAAAAUCCUCUUGUGUUGUCUUUACAUCUUAAAAAAGUAGUGUGUGCAUACAGUGUAAGCUAUGUAUUAAUAAAGGCUUCUGAACAUACAGCCACACCA